rnacentral:rRNA from 1 species
CCUACGGGAGGCAGCAGUGGGGAAUUUUGGACAAUGGGCGAAAGCCUGAUCCAGCAAUGCCGCGUGAGUGAAGAAGGCCUUCGGGUUGUAAAGCUCUUUUGUCAGGGAAGAAACGGUGUGGGCUAAUAUCCCGCACUAAUGACGGUACCUGAAGAAUAAGCACCGGCUAACUACGUGCCAGCAGCCGCGGUAAUACGUAGGGUGCAAGCGUUAAUCGGAAUUACUGGGCGUAAAGCGUGCGCAGGCGGUUUUGUAAGUUUGUCGUGAAAGCCCCGGGCUCAACCUGGGAAUUGCGAUGAAGACUGCAAGGCUUGAAUCUGGCAGAGGGGGGUAGAAUUCCACGUGUAGCAGUGAAAUGCGUAGAGAUGUGGAGGAACACCGAUGGCGAAGGCAGCCCCCUGGGUCAAGAUUGACGCUCAUGCACGAAAGCGUGGGGAGCAAACAGGAUUAGAUACCCUGGUAGUCCACGCCCUAAACGAUGUCUACUAGUUGUCGGGUUUUAAUUAACUUGGUAACGCAGCUAACGCGUGAAGUAGACCGCCUGGGGAGUACGGUCGCAAGAAUUAAAACUCAAAGGAAAUUGACGG